UACAGAGGUCUCGAGCGUUAGGCGGAAUCACUGGGCUUAAAGCGUGUGUAAGGCGGAUUGCUAAGUACCUUGUGAAAUCCCACGGCUUAAACCGUCGGAACUGCUUGGUAUACUGGCUGUCUUGAGCCACUUAGGGGCAACCGGAACAAACCGGUGGGAGCGGUGAAAUGCGUAGAUAUCGAUUUGGAACGCCAAUGGUGAAAACAGGUUGCUAGGGAGUGAUGGCUGACGCUGGAGACACGAAAGCCAGGGGAGCAAACGGGA
rnacentral:rRNA from 1 species